rnacentral:tRNA from 1 species
CGGGGCGUGGCGCAGCCCGGUAGCGCACCUGCUUUGGGAGCAGGGGGCCGCUGGUUCAAAUCCAGUCGCCCCGACCA